GCCAAGAACUGUAAAACUUUUUAUUUACAAUGAUUACAUUGCUUACUACUGUAACACUAGAUCAACUGUAUUUUAGUCAAAUUAGUCAAAUAAAAAAUUUAACAAAAGACAGACACAAAAAAAAGGAGACAGACACAAAAUACAAACUUAUUCAGAAUCAUUAUCUAUUUAAGAAAAUAUAAAAAUGCUGGAUAGAUAUUUAUAGAGUUAUACCCUGAUUAUGAAAAUAAAAAUUCUCAAGAAAAUUUUGGAAAGAAAGAAAUAGUGUGCAAAUGCAAACAACAAAAAAAGACCCUAUCUAAUGUGAAUGGCAAAAUAAAAUAUUUAAGAAGACUAAAGUAGUUACUUUAUUAUGUAUAAAUAUUUUUUUGUGUACCAUAUAUGAAGUUGUAAACAAAUAUAUUGAUUGUACAAUUAUUAAACUCACAAGGGGACAUAACAAAAUCACAUACACUGCUGUUUCAACUCGGGCACUACCUGUUUGGGCAUUUUUGCAUGUGGAAAACAGAAAAGUUUUUUUCUUACAAGUCUUGGCAAGUUCUUCUUGUUUACAUCCUUGUGAUGAACCAAGACAAUAAUGCCAUAGUAAGCCUGAACACUGACCUAAUGAUCUCCACAGACCACUGGAUGACACAUCACAGGUCAGUUUUCAGGCUUAUUAUCACCACUGGUCGCGGUUGAACACAUAUUAAAGACACAUUUCAGUAUCACCUUAACAAGAAUAAAAUGUGUAUUACUUAAUGGAGAAAUAAAAACAACAGGUUUAUAAUUAAUACAAAAGUUAUUUCAUCCAUAAUUAAUCAAUUCUAGUUCUAACUUAUAAAAAGAAAGACAGGAGUUAUUAUUUAUGUUAAAAUUGUGCAGUUUCAUGCAUUGUAUCUUGUUGGUAAAAGUAGAUUUAAAAUACUUAUUAUUAAAUCAAAAACAUUAAAAUAAUAUUAUAGGAUCAGCAUUCAUAAGGGUUCAAGAUAAGCAUCCCAAAUAUUUCCAAAGAUAAUCUUUUAUCUAGAAGGAGAAUAAACUGAGAAAAUAUCUUGUUAUCAUUGGAUAUAUUUGAUUAUUUUUAAGGAAUAUAAAAAGCAGGCACUCUUUAUAUACUCUUCUAUCAGGCAACACAAAAAAUACACCAUCAUACCA